rnacentral:lncRNA from 1 species
CUCUCAUUCAUCCCACCUCUCGGUUUAGAGAUGUCUAAUAUUUUAUAUGUCUUGUCCUGAUUAUUAAUGAUGCAUAAGAGACAAUCUCUCUCUCUCUUUCACUCUCUCUCUCUUUUUCUGUCUCUCAUCUUUCUCUCUCUCUUUUCUUUUUUUGCUGUCUCUCACACCUCUUCCCCUAAUCUCUCUCUUUUUAUCUUGCACUUUUGCAUCUUCUUGAUCUUAUUCCCAGUCACUGCCUUGUCCCCCCAUCAUUCUCUCUCUCUCUCUACCUUUUUUACCCUCUUUCUAUGUCUCUCGCUCUCUUGUGAUACAUUAGUGACACUCUCUCUCUCUUUUCUUUCACGCCAGUCCUCCUGCUCCGUUUUCUCUCGCUCUUUUUCUCACAUCUUCUUGCUCUAAUUCUCACUCACUAUCUUGUCCACCCCCCCAUCUCUCUCUCUCUUUCUCUCUCAUCUUCUGCUUUCACUCUCUCGCGCUCUCUCUCUCUCUGUUCCCGUUUGCCGGAGAGCGAGCGAUUUCCCCCUCUCUUCACCUCCAUCACCUCCUCUCUCCUAUCUGCCCUCAUCCUCCUCUCAUCCUCUCAUCCCUCCUUCCUCCUCUCCUCAUCUCUCCAUCUCUCUCUCUCUCAUCCCCCCUUUUUUUCUCUUUUAUCUCCGAGAGCCUCUCUCUUGACGCUCUCGCGCUCUCUCUCUCUCCGCAGGAACACGUAUUCCACCUUCUCUCUCUCUCUCUUUCUCUCUUUCUCAAUCCGUCCCUCCCCUUCCUCUUUUACAUGCCCCCCCUCCAUCCAUCCCAUCCCUCCUUCAUCCCCCUCUUCGGUUCAGUCAGUCCAGAGAGAGGCUGAGGUGAACAGUAACGGGGGAAAGCAGGAGUGUGUGAGUGUGUGUGUAUGUGUGUGUGUGGGAGAGAGAGAGAGAGGGCGAGAGAGAGAGAGAGAGAGAGAGGGAGGAGAGAGAGAGAGAGCUGGAGGGAAGGACGGGGUGAGGGAAAGGGGGGAUCGGGGUGAUUGGAUUUGUCCCCGGUUGGGUUUUCUCUACCAUGGACUGCCUCUGCAUCGUAACCACAAAGGUAAGCAUGCUUUCGCGCUCUCUCUCUCGCUAUCCCUCUCUCUCUCUAUUUCUCUAUCCCUCUCUCUAUCCUUAACUCUAUCUCUAUAUCUCUCUCGCUCUAUCAGGCUCUCUCUU